GCGUCAGAUUAGCUAGUUGGAGUGGUAACAGCGCACCAAGGCGACGAUCAGUAGUUGGUCUGAGAGGAUGAUCAGCCACACUGGGACUGAGACACGGUCCAGACUCCUACGGGAGGCAGCAGUGGGGAAUUUUCCGCAAUGGGCGAAAGCCUGACGGAGCAAUACCGCGUGAGGGAGGAAGGCUUUUGGGUUGUAAACCUCUUUUUUCAAGGAAGAAUUUAUGAAGGUACUUGAGGAAUCAGCAUCGGCUAACUCCGUGCCAGCAGCCGCGGUAAUACGGAGGAUGCAAGCGUUAUCCGGAAUGAUUGGGCGUAAAGCGUCCGCAGGUGGCC
rnacentral:rRNA from 1 species